ensembl:lncRNA
AUGGCUGGUCGUGUAGAGGGAAUCUGGAGAGAUUUGCACAGAUUAAGCCACAGCAUCCUGCGCUCCGGAGAGAGGAGGAGAAGAUGCUCGAGCACACAUGCGUCUGGAGGGAUGCGAAGCACUAAACUCUCAUCUUUAGCAAUAUUCCUACUUUUAUUACACAGCGCGCAGGCUUCCGACGAUGACUUGAUUCAUGAAGCCUCUGGAUCAACCCAUUUGUUUGGCAGCUUCCAUAUGACAGACAGGAAUCCAGCUUCUUUAGUCCAGUCAGAUCCCACAGGCUCGUCAAAAGGUAGCAGGGAACAACCUGAAUUUUCCUCUAAAAAACAAAAGCCUCCUGAACUCUUGUCAAAAGUUGUUGCACAUGACAAUGAAACACAUCAAUGGCCUUCAAAUGUAUCUUUGGAACGAGUGGAGCCAUUUACUCUUCCAUCAUCUGUGCUGGUCAGCAACCAUUCCUCCAACUCAGAGUUUGAGUGGAUAUCUGAGCUUGAGGCACCUGCGGCCACAUCCAGAGCUGCAGACCCUCUUCAUAAAGCCAGUGAUUCUAGCAGAUAUUCACCUGAGCAGAGAAACACAGCUGCAUCCAAUAGAUCUUCAGCUACAGCUGUGAACACACAACGAGAAAGACCAGACAUUACAACCACUAUUGUAUCUCAACCUACAAUAUUUAACAGCAAUACUGUCACCACAACCAGCAUCCCCUUUACGAAAACCACAAAUCAGAUUAGCACUACCCAGUCAUCUGCUGCUAAACGACACUCCAAAACACCUAGGACAGCCAUCAGAACUACAACUACAGAAUCUCCAAAGACAACACCUAGAAUCCUUCCUGCCUUCACCUCACAGAGUGCUAGGUUGGACCCUUCAAGGAGCACCUUAGUUCCUUCAAGAGCUGCUGCUACCGAGGCCUCGAUGCUGAGAUGUAACAUCACUGACAAGAUGUGGAUAAAAACAGGUGCGAUUGCACAUAUCAAAUAUUGAUCUUUAUGAAAUGACAGAAAAUCAUUGUAGUGUAACAGUGUUUUAGUCGAGACGAGCUCGUUCAAG